rnacentral:misc_RNA from 1 species
GGAAGGAUCAUUAACACUUCAUAUUUUUUUUUUCCUUCUCCUGCCUCACGGUGGUGAGUUGGUUAAAAAAAAUUAACACCCUGUGAACCCGUCCUCGUGUCAGAACCCUUUGUUUUAUCUUCGGAUAGAAGCUGCCCGUGGUAGAAAGAGCAGUGGUUCGUGACAUUUGUUACAAUUUCUACUUUUUUUUUUUGUUUCACAACAAACCCCUUUUCAACUUUGAUCUGAAUCACACCGGUUCCAGCUUUCGAGCGUGUGAAUCGUUAUGAGUAAUUAACAAUACAACUGUUAACAAUGGAUAUCUUGGCUCUUGCAACGAUGAAGAACGCAGCGAACUGCGAUACGUAAUGUGAAUUGCAGAACUCCGUGAAUCAUCAAAUCUUUGAACGCAAGUUGCGCUUCUGGGGUUACACCUAGGAGCAUGCCUGUUUGAGUGUUAUCAACCAAAAUCAUCAAAUCCUUUCUUCUUUGGUUUGGGAUCAUGAUGGAGAGUGAAAGUCUAGCUGGUCACAGUUAGUCUUUUAAAAUAUAUUGGAUUGUGAUUGCCUCGAAUGUAAUUCUAGGAUAUUGUCUCUCUCUCUUGAUGACGUGGUAGUUCGUAAUUGAAUACUUCGUUCCAUUAAAGUUAGUUGAUGAUUCCUGGGCUAAUGGUUACACUUGAUGUAAGUCAAUCAUAACUUUUCCAGGUUGAAGACAAAAUAAAAAUCGUUUUCGGUUUUUUCUACCCUAGCAUAACCUCAAAUCAGGUAAGACUACCCGCUGAAUUUAAGCAUAUUAAUAAGCGGAGGAAAAGAAACUAACUAGGAUUCCCCCAGUAACGGCGAGUGAAGAGGGAUGAGCUCAAGCCUAAAUCGGUGCCUCCGGUUACCGAAUUGUAGUCUAAGGAUCCAAAUUCUUGUGAGGCCCAGGUGGAAAUCUCUUUGGAACAAGGUAUCAUAGAGGGUGAGAAUCCCGUAUGUAUCUUGGUGCUCCUCACAUGUACAGUUUGAGAUCCGCGAGUCGGGCUGUUUGGGAUUGCAGCUCUAAAUGGGAGGUAAAUUCCUUCUAAAGCUAAAUAGCGGCAAGAGACCGAUAGCGAACAAGUAGCGUGAGCGAAAGAUGAAAAGAACUUUGAAAAGAGAGUUAAAAAGUACUUGAAAUUGUUAACAGGUAACCGAUUGUGACCAGUGUUCACGGUGCGAAUGGGGCAUUUAGUACUUUUAAUGAUGGGCUAGUUGAUAGCGUAAGCGUCAGCUGCCAUCAGGAAGGCUACUAGGUGGGAACGCCAUAGUAUUGUGGGUCAACAUCAGUUUCAAACUGCACGGCAGAAAGCUAGGCGGAAGGUAGCUAUGGCUGAUUAAACCCGGUCGUAGUGUUUAGACGUCGAGUGGAUACCGGCAGAGAGACUGAGGACUCGGAAGUUCGCGCCGAAAGGCGGGGUAAGCUCGUGUCCUGCUUGGCAAGUGGUGGUUCGCGGUAUCCGUGGACUGCUGCGGUCAGGUACAGAUGUGGGCGCUGCUUGCGGACUAAAGAUGUUGACAAAAUGGUUACAAUCGACCCGUCUUGAAACACGGACCAAGGAGUCUAACGUAUGCGCGAGUGUUAGGGUGGAAAACCCAUAACGCGUAAUGAAAGUGAAGGUUCCCUUCGGGGGACUGACAUCGGAAGGCGUCGCCUUGGCGCCUGCACGAUGGGCCGACCAUGAUCUUCGCGAGAAAGGUUUGAGCAAGAGCGCAUCCGUCGGGACCCGAAAGAUGGUGAACUAUGCCUGAGUAGAGUGAAGCCAGAGGAAACUCUGGUGGAGGCUCGUAGCGGUACUGACGUGCAAAUCGUUCGUCAAACUUGGGUAUAGGGGCGAAAGACUAAUCGAACCAUCUAGUAGCUGGUUCCCUC